rnacentral:rRNA from 15 species
CGGCCCAGACUCCUACGGGAGGCAGCAGUGGGGAAUAUUGGACAAUGGGCGAAAGCCUGAUCCAGCAAUGCCGCGUGAGUGAAGAAGGCCUUCGGGUUGUAAAGCUCUUUUGUCAGGGAAGAAACGGGUCUUUCUAAUACAGAGAUCUAAUGACGGUACCUGAAGAAUAAGCACCGGCUAACUACGUGCCAGCAGCCGCGGUAAUACGUAGGUGGCAAGCGUUAUCCGGAAUUAUUGGGCGUAAAGCGCGCGUAGGCGGUUUUUUAAGUCUGAUGUGAAAGCCCACGGCUCAACCGUGGAGGGUCAUUGGAAACUGGAAAACUUGAGUGCAGAAGAGGAAAGUGGAAUUCCAUGUGUAGCGGUGAAAUGCGCAGAGAUAUGGAGGAACACCAGUGGCGAAGGCGACUUUC